rnacentral:lncRNA from 1 species
AAAAGUGGGGUCACUGUGACUGGGUCCACCGGAAGAUUUUAACUCUCAAGAAUUGCCUACACUGAGCUUCAAGCAAUUUGUCAAUUACAGUUCAGGUUUUCCUACCCAGCACUGGUUCCGGAGGAGGUUGCAAGUUGUCUGAGUUUCUGCUCUAAUGUGGCAUCUUAUUUUCUUCAGCAUCCACCUGUCUAUCUUGAUUUGUCCAGGCUUUCCUAAUGCAUUAGUGCUUCAGUCCGUUCUCCAGGUUGAGAUAGCAAUCCCUCAUAUCACUUUGGAAUAAGUUGGAAGGCCCUCAUGACAAGAAACUGAUGAAGGCUUCCAGUUGACAGCCAGCAAGAUAUAGAGGUCCCCAGUCCAGUAGCCCAUAAGGGACUAAUGGCCAUCAACAACCACAUGACCUUGAAAGCGAAUAUUUCCUCAACUGAGCUUCAGAUGAGGCUGCAGGUCCUGCCAGUACUUCAACUGCAGCCUUGUGAGAUCCUGAAGCAGAGAUUCCAGCUGAGCUUUUCCAACAUCCACCCAAAUAGU